CGGGGGGGGAAUCAGCUCAUAGCGUAUAUUAAGUUGCUGCAGUUAAAAAGCUCGUAGUUGAAUUUCGGGACCAUCAUGUCGGUCGUGCCUCGGUACGUACUGGGAUUGUCGGUUUCUCCCUUCUGACGAACCAUGAUGUCAUUUAUUUGGGGGUGGGGGGAAUCAGGACUGGUACUUUGAAAAAAUUAAAGUGGUUAAAGCAGGCAACCCA
rnacentral:rRNA from 1 species